rnacentral:rRNA from 1 species
GGCGGACGGGUGAGUAAUGCCUAGGAAUCUGCCUGGUAGUGGGGGAUAACGUCCGGAAACGGGCGCUAAUACCGCAUACGUCCUGAGGGAGAAAGUGGGGGAUCUUCGGACCUCACGCUAUCAGAUGAGCCUAGGUCGGAUUAGCUAGUUGGUGGGGUAAAGGCCUACCAAGGCGACGAUCCGUAACUGGUCUGAGAGGAUGAUCAGUCACACUGGAACUGAGACACGGUCCAGACUCCUACGGGAGGCAGCAGUGGGGAAUAUUGGACAAUGGGCGAAAGCCUGAUCCAGCCAUGCCGCGUGUGUGAAGAAGGUCUUCGGAUUGUAAAGCACUUUAAGUUGGGAGGAAGGGCAGUAAGUUAAUACCUUGCUGUUUUGACGUUACCAACAGAAUAAGCACCGGCUAACUUCGUGCCAGCAGCCGCGGUAAUACGAAGGGUGCAAGCGUUAAUCGGAAUUACUGGGCGUAAAGCGCGCGUAGGUGGUUCAGCAAGUUGGAUGUGAAAUCCCCGGGCUCAACCUGGGAAUUGCGAUUGUGACUGCAAAGCUGGAGUGCGGCAGAGGGGGAUGGAAUUCCGCGUGUAGCAGUGAAAUGCGUAGAUAUGCGGAGGAACACCGAUGGCGAAGGCAAUCCCCUGGGCCUGCACUGACGCUCAUGCACGAAAGCGUGGGGAGCAAAC